UGUUUGAUCCUGGCUCAGAAUGAACGCUGGCGGCGUGCUUAACACAUGCAAGUCGAACGAGAAAGUUCCCUUCGGGGGAUAAGUAAAGUGGCGCACGGGUGAGUAACGCGUGGAUAAUCUACCCUUGAAUUCGGAAUAACAUCGCGAAAGCGGUGCUAAUACCGGAUGACGUUGUGUUUUCUGCGGAGAAUGCAACCAAAGAAUGCCUCUUCUUAGAAAGCAUUUGUUUGAGGAUGAGUCCGCGUCCCAUUAGCUAGUUGGUGGGGUAACGGCCCACCAAGGCCUUGAUGGGUAGCUGGUCUGAGAGGAUGAUCAGCCACACUGGGACUGACACACGGCCCAGACUCCUACGGGAGGCAGCAGUGAGGAAUUUUGCGCAAUGGGGGAAACCCUGACGCAGCAACGCCGCGUGAGUGAAGAAGGCCCUUGGGUCGUAAAGCUCUGUCAAUGGGGAAGAAGUUGUGUGGUUCUAAUAGGGCCAUGCAUUGACGGUACCCAUGAAGAAGCACCGUACUCC
rnacentral:rRNA from 1 species